rnacentral:misc_RNA from 1 species
CAAAAAAAAAAAAAAAAAAUACUAAGGAAGUGUUUGGUACAAGAUUAAAAAAAAUUUGAAGGUUAAGUGUUACUCUUAUAAUUCUUAAAUGAGUAAUUAUUAAGGGCUAAAAAAUAAUUAAUCAUGUAACAAUUAAUGAUAUUUUGUAGAAAAAAAAAAUUAAAGUGUCUUAUUAGCAUUUUUUAAGCCUUAUUAACCUAGUCUUCCAAAGUUAACAUUUAUUUUAAUAUCACUUGUGGAAGUAAGUCCCACAUCUGCAAUAUACAAGAAAAUUAAAGAGCAUAUAAGUGUUAGCAUACCAAACCAAAAUGGCUUUUUGGUAAUGGGCAGUCCAAUUUCAAGCCUAGUUCAGCGUGUAGCUUGACACUUUGAUAUUCAUGCUCAUUGAUCCAUAAUUUUCAACAAAACGAAGACCUUAAUGCUUUUCUUCAUGUCUUUGCGAACAUUCUACAAUUGAAAAGCUAUUCAAAUCAGUAGAAGCAAAAUAAUCAGAUAAAUUUUCAAUUUCCCUUGUCUUCUCAACAGUAUAUCUUUCUUCUUUCCCUAGGAUCAAAUCUUCAAACUCUUGCUCAUUCUCUUCAGCUUCUUUCACUAGAAUAUAUUUCUCAAAAUUUUCCAACUCAAUCUUAUCAUGUCGGAUUUCAACAUGUGAAGGCUCAAAAAUCAAUGCUUUGGAUCUUCAAGCUUUUCAUUAUCAAAUUCUUGCUUUGCGUCCUUUCGAGUUGUAACUAUACCAGUAUAUCCUCAAGAACUCUUGAUAGCUUAAGCUCCGCUUUUAACCCAGCCAAAGUUUCAAGAUGUUCCUUAUCUUUCCCUUGAGAUUUUUAUUCAAUUUGAACAUUUGAUCAAGCAUCAUAAGUCCAAUAGUUAGAACUUAUUUAGAACUUAUUUGUGGCUGAAUAAAAGAAGUUUUCCAAUAUGCUUGUUAAAACAUAUAGUCCUUUCAUGCUUCAAGUUUAUCUUUCUAGCUCAUAGUUGAAUCAUAAAUUCCUUCUUCCAUGCUUCAAGUUCUCUCUCCCUAACUCAUAAAAGUUGUUUGAAGGUUCGAUAUUCAUAAAAUAAAUCAUGACAAUAUACAACACCAUCAAAUGAAUCCCUUAAAUAACAUAUCUCAGCUAGUUGUACCUUGUACUUAAUAAUUUCAAUUUGUAAUCUUUGCCCACAUGGAUAUGUUGUAGUCAUCAAUUUCAGUUUGCAAUUUUGAAUGUCAGCUCACAUAGAAUCUGACCAAGAACAUAAUUCAAACCUCGUGCUAGCUUUAAAUAUUUGAUUCUGCCCAAAACAGACGUAAAAUUGGAACAAGGAUGUCAAAAAUAGUGGGGAAGGAUUCUGCCAAAAAUUUGCUAAGGUGGCCUUGAUGAGGUAUGGACAUGCACGCUGAACAACAACAUGAACUUAAGUUGGUUUCCAAGUGGAUCAGACCAGACCCAACACUGGACGGCACAUGGGUGGCUCAACAAAAGUUCCAUCAAGUAGGAAACACCAAUGGACGUGCAGCAAGUCUCCAGGGAUGUUUGCGACACUGAAAUCAGGCUGAAAAGUGGUACGGGUCAAAAGCCAACCCGUACAGAUCUUGCUGUACAGAUGUUGAACAUGAGUUCCGACAAUGGGAAUGAUGUCGCCAGCAGACAGCAAGACCCAGAUAAGCUUUAAACACAGGAUUUUGUUGCAUUCUGAUCAGGUCGCAAUUCAAAUCGAAAUCUGAUCCCAAUCAGAUCUCAAUUUUCCCUGGUGGUCGGACUUGCUUCGAGAGGAUUGCUGGGUGCUAGAAAAGGAUUUGGCAAUGAAGUUGAGAUGGUUUUAAUGCUAGGCGGUGGUUGUUAUGGUUAAAAGUAGGCUAUGUUGGUGAGAGACCCAGCAGUGCAUAGAAGGGGGAAAAGUGCAAAGGACAGUGACAAGGCAAAAGGAGACGCAAUGACAGUGGUAAGUGUUUUUUUUUUUUCUUUUAAGCAGUGAGAAAGAACAGUAAGCUUAAGGAAAAGAAAAAUUUCUUGAAGUGGGCUAAAAUAAAAAAAUUCAGAUUGGGUUUUAAUUGCUCACAGGCAAUGGACAAAAGUAUUUAAUGCCAAAUUGAUGUAGAACACAAUAGAACACU